rnacentral:misc_RNA from 1 species
CAACCUACAAGUCCUUUGUUGACUUUGUUAGGCUUGGAUAUUGGAGGUCUUUGCUGGCUGUUUAUUAGCCAGCUCCUCUUAAAUGCAUUAGCUUGGUUCCUCUGCGAAUCGGCUCUCGGUGUGAUAAAUGUCUACGCCGUGACCGUGAAGCGUUUAUGGGCGAGCUUCUAA